rnacentral:rRNA from 1 species
AUGGGCGACCACUACCAGACGCUGGGGCUCGGCCGCGACGCCAGCAAGGCCGACAUCAAGAACGCCUUCUUCCGCCUCGCCCACCGCCACCACCCCGACCACCACACGCACGCCGCCGCCGCCGCCCGCGCCGAGGCCGCGGUCCGCUUCCGCCAGGUCAAGGACGCCUACGACGUGCUCCACGACGACCGCCGCCGCGCCGAGUACGAUUCCUGUUUCCGCUCCUCCUCCUCCUCGCGUUCGAGUGGCUACGGGCACCGUCACGGACACGGUCACGGCGGGAACUCUUCCUGGUCGUCGUCCGCGAGGAACGACCACGGGCACCGUCGCGGACACGGCGGCGCCACCUCGUCGGGUUCGAGGGCUCCUCCUCGGCCGAGAGGCCGCUCUAGAAUCGACAACGUGAUAUUCUGCGUAUUUGUAGGUCUAUCAGUGCUCGGAGAAAUUGGAGAAAGGUGGAAGGAAGAUCCGGAAAAGAUGGAACGAGAUUUGCAAAUGAUGAGGACAGCGUUCCUGAAGACGAAGCAACAGUGGGAAAAUUUGAAACGAGGAUGGGAAAAGAGGAACCCCUGGAAAUCAUGGAGGGAGUCGAGAGAGAUGGACAAAGAGAAGAACUAG